UACCAGCACCCCGAGUGGUCGGGACGUUUAUUGGGCCUAAAGCAUCCGUAGCCGGUUCUACAAGUCUUCCGUUAAAUCCACCUGCUUAACAGAUGGGCUGCGGAAGAUACUAUAGAGCUAGGAGGCGGGAGAGGCAAGCGGUACUCGAUGGGUAGGGGUAAAAUCCGUUGAUCUACUGAAGACCACCAGUGGCGAAGGCG
rnacentral:rRNA from 1 species